GUGCUCGCUUCGGCGGCACGUACACUCAAAACUGGAACGACGCAGAGAAGGUUAGCACGGCCCCUGCACAAGGAUGACGCUCGAAUUCGUGGAGCAUUCCGUAUUUAA